rnacentral:piRNA from 1 species
AGGAUAUCUACCUGAGGCUGUUGGUCAAG